rnacentral:rRNA from 1 species
UGGCUCAGGAUGAACGCUGGCUGUGUGCCUAAUACAUGCAAGUCGAGCGAAGUACUUUUGUACUUAGCGGCGAAUGGGUGAGUAACACGUACUCAACGUACCCUUCAGUUUGGAAUAGCAGUUGGAAACAACUGAUAAUACCAAAUACUUAUUUUGGUCGCAUGACCGAAAUAUAAAAGGUGCCUUAAAGCAUCGCUGGAGGAGCGGGGUGCGCAACAUUAGCUAGUUGGUGAGGUAACGGCCCACCAAGGCGAUGAUGUUUAGCGGGGUUGAGAGACUGAACCGCCACACUGGGACUGAGAUACGGCCCAGACUCCUACGGGAGGCAGCAGUAGGGAAUAUUCCACAAUGGACGAAAGUCUGAUGGAGCGACACAGCGUGCAGGAUGAAGGCCUCAUGGGUUGUAAACUGCUGUGGUAAGGGAAUAAAAAACAGUGUAGGAAAUGCCACUGUAUUGAAUGUACCUUAUUAGAAAGCAACGGCUAACUAUGUGCCAGCAGCCGCGGUAAUACAUAGGUUGCAAGCGUUAUCCGGAAUUAUUGGGCGUAAAGCGUCUGUAGGUUGUUUAUUAAGUCUGGCGUUAAAUUUUGGGGCUCAACCCCAAACCGCGUUGGAUACUGGUAAACUAGAGUUAUGUAGAGGUUAGCGGAAUUCCUUGUGAAGCGGUGAAAUGCGUAGAUAUAAGGAAGAACACCAACAUGGCGAAGGCAGCUAACUGGACAUACACUGACACUGAGAGACGAAAGCGUGGGGAGCAAACAGGAUUAGAUACCCUGGUAGUCCACGCCCUAAACGAUGAUCAUUAGCUGAUGGGGAACUCAUCGGCGCAGCUAACGCAUUAAAUGAUCCGCCUGAGUAGUACGUUCGCAAGAAUAAAACUUAAAGGAAUUGACGGGGACCCGCACAAGCGGUGGAGCAUGUGGUUUAAUUUGAAGAUACGCGUAGAACCUUACCCACUCUUGACAUCUUCCGCAAAGCUAUAGAGAUAUAGUGGAGGUUAACGGAAUGACAGAUGGUGCAUGGUUGUCGUCAGCUCGUGUCGUGAGAUGUUCGGUUAAGUCCUGCAACGAGCGCAACCCCUGUUCUUAGUUACUAACAUUUAGUUGAGCACUCUAAGAAGACUGCCCGAGUAAUCGGGAGGAAGGUGGGGAUGACGUCAAAUCAUCAUGCCUCUUACGAGUGGGGCAACACACGUGCUACAAUGGCCGGUACAAAGUGAAGCAACCUGGUGACAGUGAGCAAACCACAAAAAACCGGUCUCAGUUCGGAUUGGAGUCUGCAACUCGACUCCAUGAAGUCGGAAUCGCUAGUAAUCGUAGAUCAGCUACGCUACGGUGAAUACGUUCUCGGGUCUUGUACACACCGCCCGUCAAACCAUGGGAGCUGGUAAUGCCCGAAGUCGGUUUAUUAACAAACUGCCUAAGGCAGGACUGGUGACUGGGGUUAAGUCGUAACAAGGUAUCCCUACGAGAACGUGGGGAUGGAUUACCUCCUUUCUACGGAGUACAAAAUCGAUUUAAUAUCGAUACACUAACCUUAAUUCAGACCUACUUUAUAUUUAUAAAACUUGUCAUGGCUUAUUAGGUCGUAAGCAAUAUAUCUAGUUUUGAGAGGACGACUCUCAAUUCGUUCUUUGAAAACUGAAUAGUAAUUAUUUUAAAAUAUUACAACGACAUCAAACAAUAAAUUAAUUUGGUUAAUUUGUUUUGAUUCAUCGAGUAGUUAUAUUAAUAUAACUCAUUGAAAUGUCUUAAAAUACACAUCAUAACAACAAUAGGAAAUCUUAAUUUUAUAAAUUAAGGACAUACUUUUAAAUAAGUAAGAGUUUGUGGUGGAUGCCUUGGGUCUGGAAGUCGAUGAAGGACGUGAUUACCUGCGAUAAGCCUCGUGGAGCUGGAUAUGAGCUACGAAACGGGGAUUUCCGAAUGGGGGAACCUAACUAGGGUAAUGCCUAGUUGCCUUCUUCUGAAUACAUAGGAAGUCGAGCGAGACACCAUGUGAACUGAAACAUCUUAGUAGCAUGAGGAAAAGAAAAUAAAAAAUGAUUUCUUCAGUAGCGGCGAGCGAACGAGAAAGAGCCCAAACCAUUUUAUAAUGGGGUUGUAGGACAGUCUACACAGAGUUACAAAAUUAAAUGAUAGCAGAAGCAUUUGGGAAGAUGCGCCAUAGAAGGUGAUAGCCCUGUAAGCGAAAUUGUUUAAUCUCUUGACUGUAUCCUGAGUAGGGCGGGGCACGUGAAACCCUGUCUGAAUCUGCCGGGACCAUCCGGUAAGGCUAAAUACUAACCAGACACCGAUAGUGAACAAGUACCGUGAGGGAAAG